ensembl:lncRNA
GUUUCCUCAUCAGUGAAAUGGUAGUGAGAAAUAUUGCACAUAGGGUUGUUAUGAACAUUAAAUAUGUCUGAAAUCCCUUAUCACGGUGGCUUGACUAGAGGAGAUAUUCAACACAUCAGAGUUGGUCAUAGUUACAGAAUAGCCUCAAAAGCUAUAUUUGCAAAAACAUUGCCUUUACACACAGCAAUUACAACCCCCUUAAACUUGGUUGGGGGAAUCUGUACCACUGAUUUUUGAUCAUAACUUGAUGGCUUACAGGUGAUUCCUUUUUGGAUUUAUUCUGUUUGGGAAAAUGAAAAGAGAACAAAUGAAGGUCAGAGGUAGGGACUAGUACUAUGCCAGCAAAUGGUUUCCUGUUUUGGUAACUGCUAAAAAGCAGUGUUCCUUGGAAAUCUAGCUUCUCUGAUAGAAUGGAAGCCUUAAAUUCUAACUUCAUUAGAAUAACAAAAUCAUCACUUCUGGUUCUCCAAAAUGUAUGAAGAAUCUCACCCAUACCAGAAUGAUUGGAUUUCAUAAUCUCUGACUUUUGUGCUUAGUUCAUAAAUGGUGAAUUGUAUUUCUUCAUGCUGCCCAAAAUAACAGACACAAAAAAUGUAUUGAGAUCUUACCAUGUACCAAAUACGAAACAAGAUGAUCUCUCAUAACUGAGUUUAUUAAGUCACUUAUUUCUUAGAAAGUAAUUAUUAUUCCCAUAUAAUGGAUGAGAAAACUGAAGCUCAGGAAUGAUGAGUACUUUGUCCAGGUCAUCUAGUAAGUAGUCAAGCUUGAUUUUGAAUGCUUUACUUUGCAGAUUUAAAAAAUUUUAAAUCUUUAUUGUGUUACACAUAAUUUUAUUUAACAGACACAGCAGUCAAAUCACAAAAGCACCCCAGAAGCUCCAAAUGGGAAGAUUCAGAUGAAGUAAAAUUCACUUAUCCAGCACAUCGCUACUAAGUCAAAAAAGAAAAUUUGAUUUCUUAAUAAUAUUUCAUGUCAUAGAAUGCCCCUUGCUAAGGGAGCACUCAACUCCAGCACAUGUAGGUCCUGGUUAGGCAGAAUUGCACUUUACUCCCAGUAGCCUAGAUAUGCAGUUGGGUUGUUUUACAGUAAGCUUAUGUAAUGGCAGGAGGCAGGCUAAACCUUGGCUGUCUUUGGGUUGUACUUGAACAGAAUCAUCGAUUGGACUUGACCAUUUUUACCACUUCUAAAUUGGUUUUGUUGCCCAGCUCAGAAAUAAAGGAAGAAUGUAUAGAGAAAAGACAUAAAUCUAAAAUCUACCCUAGAAAAACAUAUCUUCCCCCUUGAUAGAUAGUGUCACUUGUUGGGUUGGUUUUCCUGUCCAUUGUGACUGACUAGGUCUUUUUUUAGUAGGUUAUUUUCUGUAUGUAUGUGUACGUGUGUGUACACAUAUAUACCCGCAUACAUGUACCAGGUUGCAAGCAGACGUCAUGCCUUUCUGCUUUGUACCGCACUACUGCUGCUAGCUAAUAACCAGCAAAAUGUAGAAAAUGAAAAAUGAAGAAAUUAAUUUUCUGCAGACAACUUGGAAACAAGAGCGCAUACCCCUGACUUAGUGGGGCAUAAAACUGACUAUUUCAACAGCUAGCCUUUUCUGAAGGCUAACUGCUUCUAGCCCAGUGCUGCCUCUGCAGCAGGGUCAAGUGAAGUCAUUGCGCAUCUGGCACUUCCAGCUCUGCUGGUGAAGCUAGCCUGGGCUCAGAUAAUCCCCUGUGAUGGCUGUGGGAGCAGCAGAGCUCUGAGGCCAGUUCACAGCAACCAGAGGUCUCUUACUAUCAACAGAUUGCAUACUGUUGAUGGACUGCAAUCCACUGGGGACUGUGUUGCCCCUGCCAACUCCAUUUCCAACAGGAGUAUUUUAUUCAGGGACUCCUUCCUCAAGUUCCCAACCUGUUGACUUUGCAUCCAUUUCUACUCACCUCAUAGCAGAAGUAUAUGACAAAUAUUUCAAGAUUAAAGACAAUUCUGAAAAGCAGCCAGCUUCAGGGGCUCCACUUUGUCCCAUUUCUAAGUGCAGAGAGAAGGAAGGUAAAGGAGCCAUGUAAAAUGUAGGCAUUCAAUCCAUUUUAGAGUGAACUCCACUUAUCACAGUUUCACUUUAAUAAUCUGGAUUGGGCGCAUCCAGAUGUGAGAUGAGAUUUUCACUUACAAGUGGGUUUUUUCAAACAUGUUAAUUUAACCUCCAGAGAGAAGUGCCUGUAAUCUUUGUUCCUGGUGUUACUUUAAAGCUUUGCUAUUCAUGACUCUGUAGCUGUUUAAAAAACUUUCCACAGCAAAUGUGAUUAACUGUUUACAAAGCAACACUGUAGCUUAUGCAUCACUUUAAAAGUUGAUUAACCAUCUAUUGUUAAAGCAAUGACAAUAAACAACAAUGAAAUAAAAAGAGAGCAAGUAGCUUAACAUGGCACCAUCAGCUUAUCUUAAGUAAACUAGUUUUGUCAUUGUAUGCAGUUCUCAGUAAUGCCAGGAUUAAAAUGUCAAGCAAGCUACUUAAACAGUGGCAGCUGUGGAUGUGUGCUUGUUUUCCAUUUGUUUGUCAAGCAGUCAUUUUACUCUUGCACUGUAAUGAAGGGAAAUUAAGAUAUUGCUCCCCUAUAUUGCUAUUCAACUACCUCUAUAUGCUUGAUUUCUUUUUAGGGGUUCCCUUCUUCCAAGUCUGUAUAAAAAAGUUUCAGCUCAUCUACAUUGUAAUAGCAAUGUAAUAUAGACAGUUUUUGUGAAAGUUGUUUGUUCAUUAAAAAAAAGUUUCCUAUUGUCUCACUUUGUAUAUAACAAAACUGUACUCAUACCUUAGGAAAAGAAUUACCUAAUUCAUUAUUACUUUGUUGGAAGCUAAAUAGAAAGGAAAGCUAAAGGAAUAUCUAUUUUGUUCUUGUUCCUAUUGGUUAUAAUACAUUGAUCAGAAGAUCUGUUUAGAAUCUAGGAAUGUAGCUUAGUGGUAGAGGAUUUGCAUAGCAUGUGCAAGGACCUGGGUUCCAUCCCCAGCACUGCAAAAAAAAGUCCUUUAUGGAAAUAGACCUGCACUCAGACAGCAAAUUCAUAUAUGUAGAGGUGAGGCGGGUGUGAAUGGAUUAAUAUGACUGAUGUGUUCUGAAACACUGGUCAUAAAUUAGGGUUUUUUUGUUUAAAAGCACCAGAAAAGUUUGCUUUGUAAAAAUUCUGUUGAUUUGUUCAGUAAUGUGCCCCUAGUUUAUUUGUAAAUCCAAACACCCCUAUAUAAUGUUUUCUUAAGCAUUAUAAAACGUUUAAAAAGCCAAGUGGGUGUUUUUAUUUUAAUUAACUAUUUUAUCAACAAUAGCCUAAAGCUAAGGCCCAAAGCAUGUACAUGUUUUUGCACUGCUGGGGAUUAAGCCUGGGGCCUUGUGCAUGCUAGACUAGCAAGCUACUGGCCCCAUCCCACCAUGACCCUUUUUGAUAGAAAAAUGUGUAAAAUUGAUUGGGACAAUGAGUGAUACUGACUGAGCAAGAAAGCUUUAGCAAUAUCUCAUGUUCUUUACAGUACAGAUUUUUGUGCUGUGCCAUUGAUGGUUUUAUACAUGUUCUAUUUUUAACAUAUAUAAAAGUAGAGGGAAAAAAGACAUGGGAAUGAGUUAAUUAAAAAUGAAAUGAUAGGCUACAUACAGUGUCACACUCCUGUAAUCUUAGCUAUUUGUAAGCCGAGGAAAGAGGAUGCCUGGUUCACACAUUUAUUAUUUUUUGUCUAAAAUGUAUAUAAUGUGUCAUGUGCUGGUCUUCAGAUUUCAUUCUCUAGUGAAGAUCUGUAUGUACACAUCAAAGUAAUAAAACCUUUUGCUUUUCUUUUCAAAAAAAUGAAAAUAGAGCUUUUGCAAAUGGGAAAGAGAUCAACAGUUGGAAGGAGCAAGGAGGGAUGGGAGGGGUAGGGGAUGAAAAAAGAAUUAAGAUGUGUUAUGUACAUGUACUAACUGCCCACGAUGAAUGUAAUCAUUAUGUACUAACAUGUACGUGUACUAAUAAAAAAGGUACUAGUGAAAGAAGAGAGAGAAAGAAAAAAAAAAGAAGAAAGAAAGAAAGUAAAUAAAUUCUUCUUGGAGCUGAUCUUGAUCUGUGUAACAGAAUCUUUGGGGUAAUUAAGAAGAAUUAGAAUUCCUGCUCAGCCAGCCCCCAGAGGGAACACUUGGCUUGGCUGAAUGUUGCUCACUUGUGCCCACUACCACUUUCUGGUUCUCAUGAGAUAGAGUACACUUAAGCCAAAGUCACAAGCUCCUUCCCAGACAGUCUUCCAACCAGAAUGUGGGCAUAGCUUUCUGUCUGAAG